rnacentral:rRNA from 1 species
GACGAACCGUGCGAACGUUAUUCGGAAUCACUGGGCUUAAAGCGCGUGUAGGCGGGACGGCACGUCGGUCGCUGAAAUCCCCCGGCUUAACCGGGGAACUGGCGGCGAUACGACCGUCCUGGAGGGGCGUAGGGGGACCUGGAACUUCCGGUGGAGCGGUGAAAUGCGUUGAGAUCGGAAGGAACGCCCGUGGCGAAAGCGAGGUCCUGGACGCCUACUGACGCUGAGACGCGAAAGCCAGGGGAGCAAACGGG